rnacentral:rRNA from 1 species
UACGUAGGGUGCAAGCGUUGUCCGGAAUUAUUGGGCGUAAAGAGCUCGUAGGCGGUUUGUCGCGUCUGCUGUGAAAACCCGAGGCUCAACCUCGGGCCUGCAGUGGGUACGGGCAGACUAGAGGGGAUGCAGGGGAGAACGGAAUUCCUGGUGUAGCGGUGAAAUGCGCAGAUAUCAGGAGGAAUACCGGUGGCGAAGGCGGGUCUCUGGGCCGGUACCGACGCUGAGGAGCGAAAGCGUGGGGAGCGAACAGG